rnacentral:rRNA from 1 species
AGUGAACGCUGGCGGUAGGCCUAACACAUGCGAGUCGAACGGCAGCACAGUAAGAGCUUGCUCUUACGGGUGGCGAGUGGCGGACGGGUGAGGAAUACAUCGGAAUCUACUUUUUCGUGGGGGAUAACGUAGGGAAACUUACGCUAAUACCGCAUACGACCUACGGGUGAAAGCAGGGGAUCUUCGGACCUUGCGCGAUUGAAUGAGCCGAUGUCGGAUUAGCUAGUUGGCGGGGUAAAGGCCCACCAAGGCGACGAUCCGUAGCUGGUCUGAGAGGAUGAUCAGCCACACUGGAACUGAGACACGGUCCAGACUCCUACGGGAGGCAGCAGUGGGGAAUAUUGGACAAUGGGCGCAAGCCUGAUCCAGCCAUACCGCGUGGGUGAUGAAGGCCUUCGGGUUGUAAAGCCCUUUUGUUGGGAAAGAAAAGCAGCAGGUUAAUACCCCGCUGUUCUGACGGUACCCAAAGAAUAAGCACCGGCUAACUUCGUG